AAAACCACCCGUGCACCUUCCUCAUUAGCAACCGUGCACCUUCCUCAAGGAGUGAUAGAUGACAAACCAAUUUUAUUCUUACAAAACUGCCAAGUUACCCUCUAUGGAAGAACAACUGUUCCCAAAAAAGGCAAACUGAGCCAAUAAUAUGUCCCUGCUCAGUACAGCGCACCAAAUAGCGAUGGAUGACUUUGGCUACCGAUCCAAAACCGCAGAAAACUAUUACCUACUAUGAUAAAAGCAAUGUUGUUGUUGACGUUACGGACCAGUGGACCCGGGGCUAUACGGGGAACAGAUGGCCUGUUGCUUUAUCCUACAGCUGGCUUGACCUCGCUGGUAUCAAUGCACAUGUUCCGUACAAUCAGCACACAGGCAAAACAAUUAGGGCUGCAAAAUUCCGGGAAUUUUCAGAGUUGGAAACUUUCCAUGGGAUAACGGGAAUUUAUUGGAAUAAGCCGGGAGUUUACAAAAUUAAAGGUUGGCUCUUAACAGGGGACUUAAAUAUAGUGGGGGAAAGUAUAUUUUAGCAUAAUCUUGACUAACGCAACCAGAUUUCAUGCAAGUAAACUUGAAUAUCUAUGCUAUUCCUCAAUCACGCUAGCACACUGCUUACUGCAGGGCUAUUGAGACCACGCCCCCUACAGGCACUGUGCAUUCCUCCUACCUCCUGCACUGAUGACUCCUAGAACCCUGGACCACACCUUUGAGCCCAGAUUAUAUUUAACUCAAAAUUCAUGUUUUUGUUCUUCAAUGAAGUAAUAAAAUAAUUAGAACUUGUUAGAGUUCUACUUGCAAAUAAAUCUGCUAAAAUAAUGUUUUAAGUUUUUGUAGUCUUUUAAUAGUUAUUUUAUAGUGUUAUUUUGCAUGGAUUUCUACUUAUUACCAAAAAAAAAAUAUAUAUAUGCUUGGAUAUGAUGCAGUUAGAUUAAAUUACCCUAAAUUCCUAGUUAAUUCCCAUGAUUUUCAGAUUUUCCAAAAUUCCCAAGCUUAACUUCCAAUGGUGAUUUACCGUAAAUAUUACGGAAAUUUUCAAUCCCUUUGCAACCCUCAAAACCAUACUGGACUAUUGAUAACAUGUUCAGGGAACCAAACUAGGCCAUGGUGUAAAACAUGUCUAUGGCUCAAUAUAAACAAUGCAAAUCAAGUCCUGUCAACACUGUUGCCAGUAGAAAUAAAUGUUCAGUCAAUUAAAGUGCGUCCUUUGUCGCACAUUUCAAACAGUUAACAACUUAAAGUUCUAUUGGUAGGGCAUUGUAGCUAGAAUAGCUUAGCAUUUAGCUUGCAUUGACUGUAAUAUGUGUGUUGUAUACAAGGUAUAUACUUCUCAGGCACUCUCUCACACCUCACAAGGUCCAGGCGCAGGAACACGCAGGAAACGGCUGCAGGAACUGGGCACAACAUUGGUAGAUGAGCUGACUUUAAAUAACCCAAAAAUAAUCGCACAAAAUAGAAUGUAAAAGGCCAUGAAUGUACAUGAGCACAAUAAAGACAUGAAUAGAACGGACUUACCGGAAUAAUGUGUAGGGGUGGGUGGUAGACGAGGAACUUGGCUCUCAACGAACAAAUCAAGGUCCUUGUGCUCUGUACCAAUGCCCUUGGGCUGUGGAGUGCUCUGAGGGUUAUUUCUCUGUUUUCAAUUAACGAGAGCACUUUUUUAAAAUAGUUAUUCUAAGCUCUACAAAUGGAAAAUAAUUUCAUACAAAAACAUGCCUUGUUUUGAAACUGUCAUUGGCAAAAAUGGGAGUCCACUGCCCUGUACUACAAACCGUGAUUAGUGGUUUAGCGAGGUUUGUUGCGCUCAAAGCCUUGGUUAGCUGGGACACAAAAGUCGCUCUCUUUUAGCAUAUCUGUAAAAUAACCAUGGUGACUUAUGCUAUCAACCAAACCUGGUCGGGAGCAGGUUUUCAGCUAAGACAAUCGGGUUAGAUCGGCGUGCGCAGCUUCCUAGCCCCUUCUUUGACAUUGUCGUCACCAUUACUGGGUGUUCCCGUGGACCUCGGAGCCCGUAUUGAAAUGGGUCUCUCUGACCGAGGCUCUUUCGGGACAGAUCCCUUGGCAUUGCCUGAGAAUAUUCUUUAUAAGAAAUACAGGUUCUCAUCAGAAGGUAUUCGCUAUUUGAUCGCCCUUGUUGGAACUUAUGUAAACAAUGCUUACUGUUACGCAGUGUGUCUCCGUGAAAGAGUGGAGGUAGCGAGUCAGUCUUCAAUUUCUGCAUGUGGGGUUCUUCUCCCCACCGCUGCGCAUUUA